CGAAAGGAGUCUCCGCGCUCUCAAAACCCUUUGUGAACAUACCAAACGUCAGUUGCUUCGGCGGGAGGCCCCUGGGAGGGGCCCCGGGGCCCGGCCAGAGCCGGGCUCCCGCCGGGGCGGCGCCCCCCAAACUCUUGCUGUACCCCAGUGGCACGUCCGAGUAACAAAAAAAAACAAGUUA
rnacentral:misc_RNA from 1 species